AAGAGGUUUGGAGCCUUUGUCGUCUCCGUUUAUCAAGAAAAUAAUAACUUUAUAGUGGUUAUUCCAUCGAUUUUGGGGGUAUUAUGAAGUUUUACUAAAUUAUUUGAUAAAAACUAUUGAAAGAUGCUCAUUUACCAUGAAAAAGAGUUUAGCAUACAUUAAUACAAAUGUAGAAUAUGGUAGAAAUUUCAAAACAACACUAAAGAUUAUUGGCUUCAGUAUAUAAAGUAUUUACCAAAAACACAAUAUUUUUGUAGGGGUUAGCCCAUAGAUUUUGAGAAAAUUUCAAAAAAUAUAACAAUAAUAUUUUAAUGCCUAGUUGCAUCCUGCACUAACAUAUGAUGAUGUUCAAAGAGGUUUAGAGCCUUUGUCGUCUCCGUUUAUCAAGAAAAUAAUAAUUUUAUAGUGGUUAUUCCAUCGAUUUUGGGGGUAUUAUGAAGUUUUACUAAAUUAUUUGAUAAAAACUAUUGAACAAGAAAAUAAUAACUUUAUAGUGGUUAUUCCAUCGAUUUUGGGGGUAUUAUGAAGUUUUACUAAAUUAUUUGAUAAAAACUAUUGAACGAUGCUCAUUUACCAUGAAAAAGAGUUUAGCAUACAUUAAUACAAAUGAUGAAUUAAAACAACACUAAAGAUUAUAGGCUUCAGUAUAUAAAGUAUUUACC
rnacentral:lncRNA from 1 species